rnacentral:lncRNA from 1 species
GCGGUAUUCAAAUGUGAUGUUUUACUAUGCCACACGUAAGUGCACAUUUCAUGAUAAUCAAUGCCGUUUCCUAUGGUUAUAUAAUUCUGUCUCUAUGAUUCUAUCAAUACGGCUUCUUUGGGCUUUUCUGUAAGUCCUUUGCAGUGUCUGAUUUCCUAGUGAAAAGAUGAGUGAGGUCCCGAUAAGAUCCUACGAAACCAGCAUCCACACAGGCUCACCUGUGUGCACACUGCUGGACUCCGUGUUGAAGGAGUGACAGGAAGACAGACGGCUGUCGGUGCAUGGAAGGCAACAAGGACAGAGUAGAUUCCAGAACUGAGACAGGUACCAAGGCUCUGGCACAGCUGAGGGUUGAUCCCAAUUCUAGCCUCUCACAGAAAGGCAGAGGUGACUUAGCACAAAGAGCAUGGAACUUUGCUUUAAUAAAGCAAAUGCUUAACAUCCACUGUGAGGAACUCAAGGAGAAAUGGCAAUAGGCUCUACUAAUAACUACUGCUUUAAAAAAUGCAAGGGAGUGGGUACAUUUUCACAUGGGCCAUGUGGAAAGUUGGCUGGACCUGUCCCUGGACCUGACACUGGACCUGCCCCUGGACCUGCCGCUGGGUCUGCUACUGGACUGCUAACAAAUGCUGCAGAUCUUUAUGGAGAGAAAAAUACAAUCCAUCUGAGAGCAGCUGUCCCAGCUCUGGAUGAAGCCGACAGAAUGAGGCAGAGAUGCUGGCAUCAUUCAGUGGGCAGUCAGUGACCCUCCUCUAAGUCCAGAAAAGCUCAAACUGCAUGUCUGCAACUAGAAAUACCAAUCAUUAGCCAGACCUCCUGGCAAAUAUCACCACUGACCCACUGUAAUUCUGUGUGGUGUAUUAUGUUUCAUGUGCAGGAAAUCAUUCACAAAGCCUUUAACAAGGAAGUAUUAACAUGACUUUUAAUGCAAUAUAACAGCUUUGCACCCAUUUAACAUAUAUUUAACCCCAAUGGUAUAUGUAAAUAUAUAUUUUAUAGAACAUCAGGCGUGUUUACCUAAUGGCUCAAACCUUUAAAAUAUCUCUCUCCCUGAGAGGACAGCGGAGGAUCCCAUGCACUCUCUCCAGGAACAUGGCCCUCCCAGAGAGGACUCACAAAUCAAAUGUGCACAUGCAUGCAUGCAUGCACAGACACAUAUCUCACACACACAUGCACACACACACAUACAUGCAAUACACACAUUCACACAUGCACACACAUCCACAUAAUCACAUUCAUAAUACCAACACGUAACACAUACAUACACAUACAACACUCAAACACACAUGCAUAUACAUACACGUUCAUGCAUAUACAUUCUGGCACACACAAACAUAUGUAAAUGCAUACACAUAACAUGCACACAUAUACAUUUAUAACUAUAUACACAGGAGCAUCCAUGCAUGCAUAUUUGCACGUGUGCGAUGUCAUGCCUAAACAUGUAACACAUGCACACACAUACAUACAACACAAAUACACAUGCACACAUAUACACAUGCAUGCAUCUGUACAGUACAAAGACACAUACAUGCACAACACAUAUACAUGCAAUACACACUUUCAUACACAUAAAUGCAAACACACAUACAUAUAUACACCCCUCAAAGACCCCAUUAUUCAAUUCUAUACAAAGUGGUUUAUCCCCCAAAUGUAACUUCUUGUAAUUAAUAAACUCUACUUUACUGCACAUUUCUUGAUUUCAAAUAAUGAGGUCUCACACACAGCACACAUACACACAUUCAUACUCAAAUACAUGUGAACAUACGAAUAGAAAUAGGCACACAUGCCUGAAGACCCUCUUCUGUAAAGGUAUUCUCAAACUUGAAUUGAACGAAUUCUGCUAAUUAUAGUCAGAGUCAGCAAAGAUAUAUAUUUGACCUCGGAAUGAAUAUACUCGUUCUUUUCGUUACCCCUGGCAACAGCAAGAAUGUAAAACAGGGUUGUGUGAUACGAUGCCACUUAUUCAAUCCCACUUCCCGGGAUCUGACCACUUGUAAAAGCGUUUCUGUCUGAGUGAUUUCCUUCUGACUAAAAUCAUGAGAUAAUUCCUUCCCUUCCUGCUUUCUCUUUCCCAGGCCUUUUUACUACCCUUUCAUCAUCUCGGAAACUAAAUCAUAGUUGUCAAAAUGGAAGGCAAAGAAACAGCCUUAGGAGAGAAUCUCACAGCAGACCGGACCAGAGAGAGGAAAAAAUAAUCUUUUUGAAAAUGUACAAAAGGAAAAGUCAAGAGGCCUAGGUUCCCUCUCAUGACAGAAACAGACGUCAGCAGAGCAGGUCGCUCAGCCCAGUUCAGCUCUGUGUAUGAAACAGAGAUGCUAGCCCUUGUCCCUGUUUCAAGCUCUGUGUAUGAAAUGGAGAUUCCAGCCCUUGUCCCUGUUUCAAGCUCUGUGUAUGAAACAGAUUCUAGCCCUUGUC